rnacentral:rRNA from 1 species
GAUAAACGCUGGCGGCGUGCCUAACACAUGCAAGUCGAACGCCCUUACGCAAGUAAGGGAGUGGCGGACGGGUGAGGAACACGUGGGUGAUCUGCCUUGAGGUGAGGAAUACCGGCGAGAAAUCGCCGACAAUACCGCAUACGUUCGCAAGAACAAAGUCGCAAGACGCCUUGAGAUGAGCCUGCGUCCGAUUAGCUAGUUGGUGGGUAAAAGCCUACCAAGGCAGCGAUCGGUAGCUGGUCCGAGAGGACGAUCAGCCACACUGGGAUUGAGAACGGCCC